UGCCAACGAAGGAUCCUUACUUAUUACUAUUAAUUACUAUAAUGCGAGAAGAAAUGGCCUUGUAGCGAACGUUCAAACCCGCUCGCGACGACGUCGCCUUAUGAGAGGCAGUUUUUUCCUCCUCUCCUAUUUCCCGAACCGCGCAGCGCAGAGAAUUCGGAAAGCGUUUAUUUCUCCUAACUCACCGAUGGCUUCAACAUAUAUUUUUUUCCCGUUCAUUCGAGACAUCAAGUGUACCGGAUUGUUCGAUUUGAGAUGGAACUAGCCAGGUGUCAAAUAUGCAAAUUAAUGCAAAGCACCCAAGUACUUAAAAGUACUAAUUACAAUUUUUCCGUCAAAAUUAAUGGUGGCUUCCACUGUAAUUCAUCUAACGUCGUUUAUGUCGUUCAGUGCGGCAUGUGCCAAGCACAAUACGUAGGUCAGACUAAAACAUCAUUUCGGAUCAGGUUCAACAACCACCGAUCUGACGUUACAAAAAAGCCAAACCUCCCGGCCUCUCGCCAUUUCAAACAACCAGGUCAUUCACGAAAUAAUGUGUCACUUUUUAUUUUCCAGUCAGAUUUUAGCUCAGAUCGGUGCAGGGAACAACGCGAAUCUGAUCUCAUUUACAAAUUCCAUUAACCACUAAUUAGUCUAAUCUGGGAGCACUUUCAACGCAAAGUUUGAAGCAGCGCUCACCCUGCCCCGGAAUUUCCUCAAAGCGGACAGUGACCUACAGCGAAUGACAUCACCCCGACCGAAUGACCAAGCUUGACCGCCGAAUGACUUGAUCUUCUGGAAUCUUCCCCAAUCUGACUCACUGACAAACGCCUGUGGCGUGCCCGUACCGAUUAUGACGUCAUGUACGAAACCUAUUUAGGAGAUCUUGGUUACCCCCUUGAGCCCUGGUUGAUGACUCCAUUCCGGGCUCCCGCACCAGACAAAGAAGUGGCAUAUAAUGCAGCUCUCAGCAGCACUAGGGUUCGAAUCGAGCACUGCUUCGGAAUGCUGAAAAUGCGAUUCCGGUGCCUGCAAAGGUACCACACCCUUUACUUUGCACAAGACAGAGCCUGCAAUAUCAUCACUGCCUGUGCUGUGCUGCACAGUAUGUGCAUUUCAUACAAUUUGUCUGAGCCUGCAGAGGAGCCUGAACCGGCAGCUAGAACAUGACAGUGCCACAGUUACAGUGACUGAGGACGAGCCCAGCGAGGAGGGUGAACCCAUCAGUCAUAAUGACUCCUUGAUAUCACAGGCAAUGCGCGUACGUGAGACAAUUGUCAACAGGUACUUCUAGCAGCCUGUCAAGAAACGUAUAUGCAUCAUCACAUCGGCUCACUGCAGCAAUAGA